rnacentral:rRNA from 9 species
AGACCCGAAACCCGGUGAUCUAGCCAUGGGCAGGUUGAAGGUUGGGUAACACUAACUGGAGGACCGAACCGACUAAUGUUGAAAAAUUAGCGGAUGACCUGUGGCUGGGGGUGAAAGGCCAAUCAAACCGGGAGAUAGCUGGUUCUCCCCGAAAGCUAUUUAGGUAGCGCCUCGUGAAUUCAUCUCCGGGGGUAGAGCACUGUUUCGGCUAGGGGGCCAUCCCGGCUUACCAACCCGAUGCAAACUGCGAAUACCGGAGAAUGUUAUCACGGGAGACACACGGCGGGUGCUAACGUCCGUCGUGAAGAGGGAAACAACCCAGACCGCCAGCUAAGGUCCCAAAGUCAUGGUUAAGUGGGAAACGAUGUGGGAAGGCCCAGACAGCCAGGAUGUUGGCUUAGAAGCAGCCAUCAUUUAAAGAAAGCGUAAUAGCUCACUGGUCGAGUCGGCCUGCGCGGAAGAUGUAACGGGGCUAAACCAUGCACCGAAGCUGCGGCAGCGAACGUAUCACUUAAAGCGAUUCAGCGGGUUACGAUUGACGGAGCGAAGCGACGUCAAAGCGUAUACAAAGUCGAGUCGGUUUAAGGAUACGUUCGUUGGGUAGGGGAGCGUUCUGUAAGCCUG